GGUUAAGCGACUAAGCGUACACGGUGGAUGCCCUGGCAGUCAGAGGCGAUGAAGGGCGUGCUAAUCUGCGAUAAGCGCCGGUAAGGUGAUAUGAACCGUUAUAACCGGCGAUACCCGAAUGGGGAAACCCAGUGUGAUUCGUCACACUAUCAUUAACUGAAUCCAUAGGUUAAUGAGGCGAACCGGGGGAACUGAAACAUCUAAGUACCCCGAGGAAAAGAAAUCAACCGAGAUUCCCCCAGUAGCGGCGAGCGAACGGGGAGGAGCCCAGAGCCUGAAUCAGCAUGUGUGUUAGUGGAAGCGUCUGGAAAGGCGCGCGAUACAGGGUGACAGCCCCGUACACAAAAGCGCAUAUGCUGUGAGCUCGAUGAGUAGGGCGGGACACGUGGUAUCCUGUCUGAAUAUGGGGGGACCAUCCUCCAAGGCUAAAUACUCCUGACUGACCGAUAGUGAACCAGUACCGUGAGGGAAAGGCGAAAAGAACCCCGGCGAGGGGAGUGAAAAAGAACCUGAAACCGUGUACGUACAAGCAGUGGGAGCCCCACCACUAAGCCAGUGGUGAACUCCACAUACGCAUCCUUUGCUGAGGAGACGGUUAACGGAGCGAAAGCGACGUUCAACCUCAAAAGAAGCAGAGGGGGCUUAGUGGUGGGGUGACUGCGUACCUUUUGUAUAAUGGGUCAGCGACUUAUAUUCUGUAGCAAGGUUAACUGUAUAGGGGAGCCGGAGGGAAACCGAGUCUUAACCGGGCGUUAAGUUGCAGGGUAUAGACCCGAAACCCGGUGAUCUAGCCAUGGGCAGGUUGAAGGUUGGGUAACACUAACUGGAGGACCGAACCGACUAAUGUUGAAAAAUUAGCGGAUGACCUGUGGCUGGGGGUGAAAGGCCAAUCAAACCGGGAGAUAGCUGGUUCUCCCCGAAAGCUAUUUAGGUAGCGCCUCGUGAAUUCAUCUCCGGGGGUAGAGCACUGUUUCGGCUAGGGGGCCAUCCCGGCUUACCAACCCGAUGCAAACUGCGAAUACCGGAGAAUGUUAUCACGGGAGACACACGGCGGGUGCUAAUGUCCGUCGUGAAGA
rnacentral:rRNA from 3 species